GGAGAGAUGGCUGAGCGGUCGAAGGCGGCGGUCUUGAAAACCGUUGAGGGUUUGCGCCCUCCGUGGGUUCGAAUCCCACUCUCUCCG
rnacentral:tRNA from 1 species